UUAGAUUGAAUUUUUAUCUCCUAUAUCUUUUUUCCAAACUCAAGUCUAAAUAUAUGACAAUGAGCCUAGCUGAUCAUGCAGAUGCAGAUUUUAGAGAAUCUCAAUGAUCGUAUUAUGAAUGGUAUCUCGAAAGCUCUGAGGUCGCUGGCUUCCAAAGCCUCUGCACGACCUCCUGCACAUAUGUGUUAGCCCAUGUCUGGGUCAUCGAGCCUUAAGAGGAGGAGGUCGAUGAAGAUCCUCGAGCUGAUGGAGAAUCAAAGCUGUGGCCGAAUCCUAUGACCCAGCUCCUGCUCAUCCUUCUGGUGGCCCUGAGCUAUCCCUCGAGGUCAAAGAUGUUACGAAUUGUGUCCUAAAACUAAUCAUCUAGGUUAUAGAUGAUUGUGCUCCACACAUGUAUAUGAAUUAUAAAAUGAUAAAUAUUAUCUGAUAGAUUUAUCAUAAAGAAUAUAUUUUUUAAAAUAGAACUCAUAUGUUAUGAUGAAGUCCUUAGAGUUACUUCCAAAAUGAUAAAAGAAGAUUUAUCAUGUGGUUCUUAAAUCCUGCUCGCAAUCAAAUCAUAUAAUUGUUACAAGGAUAAUAAUUGUAUCGAGUGUAGGCCGUUGUAUACCAU
rnacentral:lncRNA from 1 species